UCAGAUUGAUGAGACCGGGAGAUACAAUCAGGCUGGGUUGGGGGGAGAGGGGGGCUCCAUAAAGGCAUUCGUUUGUAUGGGAUGAGGGUGGGUAUUGGUUUAAAAGGCAAUCACGUGCGACUUCGUUACUAACCUGCUGUUUGUUGUAUAGGAACAGAGACACAGGAAUGACGCCCCAACAGCAAAGGGAACCGGGGCACCCACUUGGCAAUAAAGACUCAGUGACGGGAAGCGAUCUGCUGCGAUACUCGGGAAAGAGAAAGCGCCACUUCCUCGGCACAUCAAAGUGCAGCACUUUUUCCAGAUGGCAAACCCCUCAGAUGAGAUAGAGUUGUGGCACAGGCUCCGCAUUCGCAGCACAGGAGCAAGCUAUGAUCCAGACUGACCCAAAAAGAUUAACCCGCCAAGAACAAGUCAUUUGUUUAUUUGGGUCUACGUGUGUUGGGAUUUUAUUUGGGUGUUCCAUGUGGUGACUGUGUUUAUCCCUUAACCUGUUUAAUAAAGCUUUAACCUUCCUCUUUUUCCACAAA